UGGGGAAUUUUGCACUAUGGGGGAAACCCUGAUGCAGCGACGCCGCGUGAUUUAGAAGGCCUUCGGGUUGUAAAAAUCUUUUCUAUGGGAAGAAAAUGACAGUACCAUAGGAAUAAGGACCGGCUAAUUACGUGCCAGCAGCCGCGGUAAUACGUAAGGUCCGAGCGUUGUCCGGAAUCAUUGGGCGUAAAGGGUACGUAGGCGGGUAAGCAAGUUAGAAGUGAAAUCCUAUAGCUCAACUAUAGUAAGCUUUUAAAACUGCUCAUCUUGAGGUAUGGAAGGGAAAGUGGAAUUCCUAGUGUAGCGGUGAAAUGCGCAGAUAUUAGGAGGAAUACCGGUGGCGAAGGCGACUUUCUGGCCAUAACCUGACGCUGAGGUACGAAAGCGUGGGUAGCAAACAGG
rnacentral:rRNA from 1 species